rnacentral:rRNA from 1 species
GGCUCAGAGCGAACGCUGGCGGCGUGUUCUAGGCAUGCAAGUCGAACGGCAGCAUGAGAGAGCUUGCUCUCUUGAUGGCGAGUGGCGGACGGGUGAGUAACACGUAGGAAUCUACCCAAAGGACUGGGAUAGCCACGGGAAACCGUGGAUAAUACCGGAUGAUAUCGAAAGAUCAAAGGCGCGUUUGCGUCACCUAUGGAUGAGCCUGCGUCCCAUCAGGUUGUUGGUAGGGUAAAGGCCUACCAAGCCGAAGACGGGUAGCUGGUCUAAGAGGACGGUCAGUCACAAGGGAACUGAGACACGGUCCCUACUCCUACGGGAGGCAGCAGCCAAGAAUCUUCCGCAAUGGACGAAAGUCUGACGGAGCGACGCCGCGUGAGGGAUGAAGGCCUUCGGGUUGUAAACCUCUUUUCUUUAGGAAGAAUAAGGUUAUCAGGAAAUGGGUAACCGAUGACGGUACUAAAGGAAUAAGCCCCGGCUAAUUACGUGCCAGCAGCCGCGGUAAUACGUAAGGGGCGAGCGUUGCUCGGAAUUACUGGGCGUAAAGGGCGUGUAGGUGGUCUUGCAAGUCGAUUGGUAAAAGACCGUGGCUUAACUACGGGACUGCUAUCGAAACUGCGAGACUAGAGUCUGGUGGAAGGUGACGGAAUUCUCGGUGUAGCGGUGAAAUGCGUAGAUAUCGAGAAGAACACCAAAGGCGAAGGCAGUCAUCUAUGCCGAGACUGACACUGAGGCGCGAAAGCGUGGGUAGCAAACAGGAUUAGAUACCCUGGUAGUCCACGCCGUAAACGAUGUGCACUAGGAGUUGGCGGGAUACCGUUAGUUCCGCAGCAAACGCGUUAAGUGUACCGCCUGGGGAUUACGACCGCAAGGUUGAAACUCAAAGAAAUUGACGGGGGCCCGCACAAGCGGUGGAGCACGUGGUUUAAUUCGAUGAUAAGCGAAGAACCUUACCUGGACUUGACAUAUAACUGCACGUCCUGUGAAAGCAGGAUUCCUUCGAGGGUGUUAUACAGGUGCUGCAUGGCUGUCGUCAGUUCGUGCCGUGAGGUGUUAGGUUAAGUCCUGCAACGAACGCAACCCCUAUGUUUAGUUGCCAUCAGGUAAUGCUGGGCACUCUAGACAGACUGCCCGUGCAAUCGGGAGGAAGGUGGGGACGACGUCAAGUCAGUAUGGCCCUUACGUCCAGGGCUGCACACGUGCUACAAUGACCGGUACAGAGGGCAGCGAUACCGCGAGGUGGAGCUAAUCCCUUAAAACCGGUCCCAGUUCGGAUUGGAGUCUGCAACUCGACUCCAUGAAGUUGGAUUCGCUAGUAACGGCGUAUCAGCUACGGCGCCGUGAAUACGUUCCCGGGUCUUGUACACACCGCCCGUCACAUCAUGGAAGCCGUCUGCACCCAAAGUCGCUGACUCAAC